GUGUCAGCCGCCGCGGUAACACCGGCGGCUCGAGUGGUAACCGUUAUUAUUGGGUCUAAAGGGUCUGUAGCCGGCCGGAUAAGUCUCUUGGGAAAUCCAGCAGCUCAACUGUUGGGCUUUCAGGAGAUACUGUCUGGCUCGAGGCCGGGAGAGGUGAGAGGUACUUCAGGGGUAGGGGUGAAAUCUUGUAAUCCUUGAAGGACCACCAGUGGCGAAGGCGUCUCACCAGAACGGACCUGACGGCAAGGGACGAAAGCUAGGGGCACGAACCGGAUUAGAAACCCGGGUAGUCC
rnacentral:rRNA from 1 species